AAUCCAUAGGUUAAUGAGGCGAACCGGGGGAACUGAAACAUCUAAGUACCCCGAGGAAAAGAAAUCAACCGAGAUUCCCCCAGUAGCGGCGAGCGAACGGGGAGGAGCCCAGAGCCUGAAUCAGCAUGUGUGUUAGUGGAAGCGUCUGGAAAGGCGCGCGAUACAGGGUGACAGCCCCGUACACAAAAGCGCAUGUGCUGUGAGCUCGAUGAGUAGGGCGGGACACGUGGUAUCCUGUCUGAAUAUGGGGGGACCAUCCUCCAAGGCUAAAUACUCCUGACUGACCGAUAGUGAACCAGUACCGUGAGGGAAAGGCGAAAAGAACCCCGGCGAGGGGAGUGAAAAAGAACCUGAAACCGUGUACGUACAAGCAGUGGGAGCACCCUUUGGGUGUGACUGCGUACCUUUUGUAUAAUGGGUCAGCGACUUAUAUUCUGUAGCAAGGUUAACCGAAUAGGGGAGCCGGAGGGAAACCGAGUCUUAACCGGGCGUUAAGUUGCAGGGUAUAGACCCGAAACCCGGUGAUCUAGCCAUGGGCAGGUUGAAGGUUGGGUAACACUAACUGGAGGACCGAACCGACUAAUGUUGAAAAAUUAGCGGAUGACCUGUGGCUGGGGGUGAAAGGCCAAUCAAACCGGGAGAUAGCUGGUUCUCCCCGAAAGCUAUUUAGGUAGCGCCUCGUGAAUUCAUCUCCGGGGGUAGAGCACUGUUUCGGCUAGGGGGCCAUCCCGGCUUACCAACCCGAUGCAAACUGCGAAUACCGGAGAAUGUUAUCACGGGAGACACACGGCGGGUGCUAACGUCCGUCGUGAAGAGGGAAACAACCCAGACCGCCAGCUAAGGUCCCAAAGUCAUGGUUAAGUGGGAAACGAUGUGGGAAGGCCCAGACAGCCAGGAUGUUGGCUUAGAAGCAGCCAUCAUUUAAAGAAAGCGUAAUAGCUCACUGGUCGAGUCGGCCUGCGCGGAAGAUGUAACGGGGCUAAACCAUGCACCGAAGCUGCGGCAGCGACACUGUGUGUUGUUGGGUAGGGGAGCGUUCUGUAAGCCUGUGAAGGUGUGUCGUGAGGCAUGCUGGAGGUAUCAGAAGUGCGAAUGCUGACAUAAGUAACGAUAAAGCGGGUGAAAAGCCCGCUCGCCGGAAGACCAAGGGUUCCUGUCCAACGUUAAUCGGGGCAGGGUGAGUCGACCCCUAAGGCGAGGCCGAAAGGCGUAGUCGAUGGGAAACGGGUUAAUAUUCCCGUACUUGGUGUUACUGCGAAGGGGGGACGGAGAAGGCUAUGUUGGCCGGGCGACGGUUGUCCCGGUUUAAGCGUGUAGGUGUGUGUUCCAGGUAAAUCCGGUUCACUUUAACACUGAGGCGUGACGACGAGGCACUACGGUGCUGAAGCAACAAAUGCCCUGCUUCCAGGAAAAGCCUCUAAGCAUCAGGUAACAUCAAAUCGUACCCCAAACCGACACAGGUGGUCAGGUAGAGAAUACCAAGGCGCUUGAGAGAACUCGGGUGAAGGAACUAGGCAAAAUGGUGCCGUAACUUCGGGAGAAGGCACGCUGACACGUAGGUGAAGUGAUUUACUCAUGGAGCUGAAGUCAGUCGAAGAUACCAGCUGGCUGCAACUGUUUAUUAAAAACACAGCACUGUGCAAACACGAAAGUGGACGUAUACGGUGUGACGCCUGCCCGGUGCCGGAAGGUUAAUUGAUGGGGUCAGCGCAAGCGAAGCUCCUGAUCGAAGCCCCGGUAAACGGCGGCCGUAACUAUAACGGUCCUAAGGUAGCGAAAUUCCUUGUCGGGUAAGUUCCGACCUGCACGAAUGGCGUAAUGAUGGCCAGGCUGUCUCCACCCGAGACUCAGUGAAAUUGAACUCGCUGUGAAGAUGCAGUGUACCCGCGGCAAGACGGAAAGACCCCGUGAACCUUUACUAUAGCUUGACACUGAACAUUGAGCCUUGAUGUGUAGGAUAGGUGGGAGGCUUUGAAGUGUGGACGCCAGUCUGCAUGGAGCCGACCUUGAAAUACCACCCUUUAAUGUUUGAUGUUCUAACGUGGACCCGUUACCCGGGUUGCGGACAGUGUCUGGUGGGUAGUUUGACUGGGGCGGUCUCCUCCUAAAGAGUAACGGAGGAGCACGAAGGUUGGCUAAUCCUGGUCGGACAUCAGGAGGUUAGUGCAAUGGCAUAAGCCAGCUUGACUGCGAGCGUGACGGCGCGAGCAGGUGCGAAAGCAGGUCAUAGUGAUCCGGUGGUUCUGAAUGGAAGGGCCAUCGCUCAACGGAUAAAAGGUACUCCGGGGAUAACAGGCUGAUACCGCCCAAGAGUUCAUAUCGACGGCGGUGUUUGGCACCUCGAUGUCGGCUCAUCACAUCCUGGGGCUGAAGUAGGUCCCAAGGGUAUGGCUGUUCGCCAUUUAAAGUGGUACGCGAGCUGGGUUUAGAACGUCGUGAGACAGUUCGGUCCCUAUCUGCCGUGGGCGCUGGAGAACUGAGGGGGGCUGCUCCUAGUACGAGAGGACCGGAGUGGACGCAUCACUGGUGUUCGGGUUGUCAUGCCAAUGGCACUGCCCGGUAGCUAAAUGCGGAAGAGAUAAGUGCUGAAAGCAUCUAAGCACGAAACUUGCCCCGAGAUGAGUUCUCCCUGAGACUUAGAGUCUCCUGAAGGAACGUUGAAGAC
rnacentral:rRNA from 1 species